UACAGAGGUCUCAAGCGUUGUUCGGAUUCAUUGGGCGUAAAGGGUGCGUAGGUGGCGCCGUAAGUCAGGUGUGAAAUCUCGGGGCUCAACCCCGAAACUGCACUUGAUACUGCGGUGCUCGAGUACUGGAGAGGAGAUUGGGAUUUACGGUGUAGCAGUGAAAUGCGUAGAUAUCGUAAGGAAGACCAGUGGCGAAGGCGAAUCUCUGGACAGUUACUGACACUGAGGCACGAAGGCCAGGGGAGCAAACGGG
rnacentral:rRNA from 1 species